CUCCUUCGCUUCUACCAUUCCCACUACUUUUGCUGUUGCUGCUUAUUUGCCUUGCACUUUUCAUUCCGCCACCGCACAUCCAAACGCCGCAGGGGGUUGUGAAAAGAGGAGAGGUAUAGGCCAGAGCAAGAGAGAAAACAAAACAACGCGAAUUACAACAGCAACAACAAGUGCAUGGUAUUCCUGCUGCUACUCCAACAACAAUAGGAAGCACAAACAACUAAGAAGAGAGUGAGAGAGUGGGGUGGGGGGGAGUGCAAGUCAAUGCGUGCGGCGCAUCGUCUCGCUGCUGGCUAGCCACAACAUAGCGGGACCAAAACAGCAACAAGAAACGAAAACUAACUUCCAACGCCGAUCUCGUUGCUACCCUUGUAUAUCGUUCGUUCCUUUGCUUUGAUACAGCAUGCCCUGUAUAGAAUGUCAGCACAUAAUAGUGAAAUCAUCUAAAGUUUCUACUCAGAUACUGAACAGCUUUCCUAGAGAUUUUCGUUGCAAAUUUAAGAAACAGAAGUUGCCACGAAAUGACUGUCGUAAAGAGCACAGGCAAACAUCAGACGCAUGCGCAAGGUAUUCACCAAAGAAAACACGAAAAUAUGCGCCGACAGUUUUUGAAGUUCCGCAUGCGUUAUCCGGCAAGAUCUAAGAUCACCCACGAUGCUACUCAGCCAAAAGUAAAGCAACCGAAAUUCCGUCAACCCAAACUUUUUCCCAAUAAUUCCAACAUUUUCUUUUAAUUUUUUCAAAGUUUAAAUGUUGUACUUCAAAAUUCUGAAAUUAAUCGUAUUAAGAAUAUAAGAAUAUAAACCCACUAUAUCCCUA